rnacentral:rRNA from 1 species
UGGGGAAUAUUGGACAAUGGGGGCAACCCUGAUCCAGCCAUGCCGCGUGAGUGAUGAAGGCCUUCGGGUUGUAAAGCUCUUUUGGCGGGGACGAUGAUGACGGUACCCGCAGAAUAAGCCCCGGCUAACUUCGUGCCAGCAGCCGCGGUAAGACGAAGGGGGCUAGCGUUGUUCGGAAUUACUGGGCGUAAAGCGAGUGUAGGCGGUUGCCGUAGUCAGGUGUGAAAGCCUUGAGCUCAACUCAAGAAAUGCACUUGAUACUGGGUGACUAGAGGACCGGAGAGGAUAGUGGAAUUCCCAGUGUAGUGGUGAAAUACGUAGAGAUUGGGAAGAACACCAGUGGCGAAGGCGGCUAUCUGGACGGUUACUGACGCUAAGACUCGAAAGCGUGGGGAGCAAACAGGAUUAGAUACCCUGGUAGUCCACGCCGUAAACGAUGGGUGCUAGACGUUGGCGAGCUUGCUCGUCAGUGUCGCAGCUAACGCGUUAAAUCGACCGCCUGGGGAGUACGGCCGCAA